AUUGAACGCUGGCGGCACGCCUAACACAUGCAAGUCGAGCGGCAGCAUGCUUAGUAGCAAUACUAAGUGAUGGCGAGCGGCGGACGGGUGAGGAACACGUAGGAACCUGCCCAAGAGAGGGGGAUAACUAAGGGAAACUUUAGCUAAUACCGCAUAAUCUCUGAGGAGAAAGGCUGCCCGCAAGGGUAGCGCUUUUGGAGGGGCCUGCGUCCGAUUAGCUAGUUGGUGAGGUAAUGGCUCACCAAGGCGAUGAUCGGUAACUGGUCUGAGAGGACGACCAGUCAAACUGGGACUGGGACACGGCCCAGACUCCUACGGGAGGCAGCAGUGGGGAAUCUUGGACAAUGGGGGCAACCCUGAUCCAGCGAUGCCGCGUGGGUGAAGAAGGCCUUCGGGUUGUAAAGCCCUUUAGGCUGGGAAGAAGUGUGCGGGGUGAAUAAUCCUGUACAUUGACGGUACCAGCAGAAUAAGCACCGGCAAACUCUGUGCCAGCAGCCGCCGUAA
rnacentral:rRNA from 1 species